rnacentral:tRNA from 1 species
GUAGUCGUGGCGAGUGGUUAAGGCGACAGACUUGAAAUCUGUUGGGAUAUUCCCGCGCAGGUUCAAAUCCUGCCGACUACG